rnacentral:rRNA from 1 species
CCGCUCAGAUGAACGCUGGCGGCAGGCCUAACACAUGCAAGUCGAGCGGUAGAGAGAAGCUUGCUUCUCUUGAGAGCGGCGGACGGGUGAGUAAUGCCUAGGAAUCUGCCUGGUAGUGGGGGAUAACGUUCGGAAACGGACGCUAAUACCGCAUACGUCCUACGGGAGAAAGCAGGGGACCUUCGGGCCUUGCGCUAUCAGAUGAGCCUAGGUCGGAUUAGCUAGUUGGUGAGGUAAUGGCUCACCAAGGCGACGAUCCGUAACUGGUCUGAGAGGAUGAUCAGUCACACUGGAACUGAGACACGGUCCAGACUCCUACGGGAGGCAGCAGUGGGGAAUAUUGGACAAUGGGCGAAAGCCUGAUCCAGCCAUGCCGCGUGUGUGAAGAAGGUCUUCGGAUUGUAAAGCACUUUAAGUUGGGAGGAAGGGUUGUAGAUUAAUACUCUGCAAUUUUGACGUUACCGACAGAAUAAGCACCGGCUAACUCUGUGCCAGCAGCCGCGGUAAUACAGAGGGUGCAAGCGUUAAUCGGAAUUACUGGGCGUAAAGCGCGCGUAGGUGGUUUGUUAAGUUGGAUGUGAAAUCCCCGGGCUCAACCUGGGAACUGCAUUCAAAACUGACUGACUAGAGUAUGGUAGAGGGUGGUGGAAUUUCCUGUGUAGCGGUGAAAUGCGUAGAUAUAGGAAGGAACACCAGUGGCGAAGGCGACCACCUGGACUAAUACUGACACUGAGGUGCGAAAGCGUGGGGAGCAAACAGGAUUAGAUACCCUGGUAGUCCACGCCGUAAACGAUGUCAACUAGCCGUUGGAAGCCUUGAGCUUUUAGUGGCGCA